rnacentral:rRNA from 1 species
CGCCCAGACUCCUACGGGAGGCAGCAGUGGGGAAUAUUGCACAAUGGGGGAAACCCUGAUGCAGCGACGCCGCGUGAGUGAAGAAGUAUUUCGGUAUGUAAAGUUCUAUCAGCAGGGAAGAAAAUGACAGUACCUGACCAAGAAGCCCCGGCUAACUACGUGCCAGCAGCCGCGGUAAUACGUAGGGGGCGAGCGUUGUCCGGAUUUACUGGGUGUAAAGGGCGUGUAGCCGGGUUGACAAGUCAGAUGUGAAAUCCUGCGGCUUAACCGCAGAACUGCAUUUGAAACUGUUGAUCUUGAGUACUGGAGAGGCAGACGGAAUUCCUAGUGUAGCGGUGAAAUGCGUAGAUAUUAGGAGGAACACCAGUGGCGAAGGCGGCCUGCUGGACGAUGACUGACGUUGAGGCUCGAAAGCGUGGGGAGCAAACAGGAUUAGAUACCCCUGUA